AGCCGUGUGGUGUAAUGGCUUGAGUGUUAGACUGUGACUCUGGAGACCAGGGUUCGAAUCCUAGCUUAGGAUG